UUGCAUAGAGACAUUGUGUGGCUAAACUGCAGCUGCUAUAAAAGUGCCAGUGUCCCUGUGCCAUAUUAAUGAUCUGUAUGUGUCACAGUGCAUAGAUAGAGACAUGUCUUAUCCCACUGAUCUACUGCUGCUGCUGGGGAUCCUCCUGAUCUUUAGCCAGGGUUCCUAUGGGCAGAUUGUACUGACUCAGUCUCCAGAUUAUGUCUCUGUGUCACCAGGAGAAACUGUCACCAUCACAUGUAAAGCCAGUAGCAGUGUUAGCAGCAAUCUCAACUGGUACCAACAGAAAUCAGGGCAGGCACCAAAGCUGCUGAUCUAUUUGGCAAACAGGCGACACACAGGGACCCCAGAGCGUUUCAGCGGCAGUGGGUCUGGAACAGAUUACUCUCUUACAAUCAGCAGAAUGGAAGCAGAAGAUGCAGCAGAUUAUUACUGUCAGCAGAGCAGGGAUUACCCUCUCACACAGUGAUACAGAGCUGAACAAAAACCUUCCUCUUUCAGCUUGAAUGCAGAUCAGACUAAAACAUAACUCAGGACUCACUGUACCAGAAGAUUGUUGGCUUCAUACUCUGUACUCUAUAUAACCCAUACACACUAAGAUACAACUGCAUCAUCAGGGAUACUUUACAUAGCAUGUGUGUGUAUUUCAAUUCGUAAAAAAGAGAAAACUAAAGGGGAAGAAAAAAAGAAAUCAAGGUGCAUGAAAAAUCCAGUAUUAAAGGUGCAGUAUUCCCCUUUUUUGAACAUGAGUUAAAUGAAUAGGGAUUGUGCUGAAUAUAGAAUACUAUUUACAUGUUGUAAUUAUGAAAUAUAGUUUUGUUUUUGUUAUUUUAUAACUAAACAUAGCAUUGCAAUUAAAGUGAAAGUCACAUUCUAAUU